UUUCCGCCGCUCUGGGUUCACAGCUGGACGUCGGGAGUGCUAGUUUGGAGUACGCCAUUUGAGAGUAGGCGUGAGAAGUUGCUCUGUGUGCUGAGCGUUCUAAAGGAAGGCGUCCGUUGGCCUUCGUACCCGUCUUGAGUGAGACUUUCGACAGGCUCUCCCAAUGAGAGGACAUAUGCAGUUACUGACACGCACUGACUGAAAGAAGAUGCUGGCUGUACAAACUUGCUGGACCCACUGCUGGUCCCUCCUCCCAGCACCAUGACUCACGUUGAAGAUAUUACUGAUGACCAUCCUCAGGUUGCCUAAAGCUGUCACCUC
rnacentral:lncRNA from 1 species